CCUACGGGAGGCAGCAGUGAGGAAUAUUGGUCAAUGGACGAGAGUCUGAACCAGCCAAGUAGCGUGAAGGAUGACUGCCCUAUGGGUUGUAAACUUCUUUUAUAUGGGACUAAAAUGUUCCACGUGUGGGAUUUUGUAUGUACCAUAUGAAUAAGGAUCGGCUAACUCCGUGCCAGCAGCCGCGGUAAUACGGAGGAUCCGAGCGUUAUCCGGAUUUAUUGGGUUUAAAGGGAGCGUAGGUGGAUUGUUAAGUCAGUUGUGAAAGUUUGCGGCUCAACCGUAAAAUUGCAGUUGAAACUGGCAGUCUUGAGUACAGUAGAGGUGGGCGGAAUUCGUGGUGUAGCGGUGAAAUGCUUAGAUAGCACGAAGAACUCCGAUUGCGAAGGCAGUUCACUGGACUGCAACUGACACUGAGGCUCGAAAGUGUGGGUAUCAAACAGGAUUAGAUACCCCAGUAGUC
rnacentral:rRNA from 1 species